GGUCAUGUACGUGAUGACAGAACUUUUUUCCCCAUCAGAUCGACCCUGGUGACUUCUGAUGCUAAUUAGCCAGUCUUGUCUGAUACAUGACC